ensembl:lncRNA
AGCGUAAACUAUGUGAGUCACAUUUUAAUGGAUGGAGGACGGACGGACGGACGGACGGACGGACGGAGGGAGGGAGGGAGGGAGUGCGUGCACUUUUACUGGAGCUGGGCGCCAAACUGUAGGGAGGCUAGACACCCAUGUGGGAGAUUGCAAGGCCAGGUGGAAGGGACUGAGGGAUUCAUUUGUCAAGUCCCGGAAAAAAAUGCAUCUUCCAAGUGGGUCUGGGGCAACAAGCCACCGGGACUGGAAAUAUGCAACGCUCAUGCCCGUUAUGCCGAGCAGAAGCACCAUAGGCAAUUUGGAGGCCUCUGAGCCAGGGCAGAACACCCAGGAAGAGGAGGCACAGGAGCAGCAGGAGGAUGCAGCUCGACCUCCCCGGACUGAGAGGAUGGCAGCCCAACGAGGCACUGCAUCCAGCAGCAGACACAGGAGCAGAAGCCCCAACACUGUGGUCAACGACAGGCUCCUGGACUUCAUCACAGUGCCACCACCAACAGUUCGAACAACUGCCUGUGAGCAUUUUUUGCUGAGUUUGGUUCCUCAGCUGGACAGACUCAAUGCCAGGAACCAAACCAAAGCAAAAAUUGCGUUUCUGCAAGUCCUGGACGACCUGGAAACCUCCUCACCAUAGUCAACCCCAUGGGUCUAUGGGAGGGCCAUCCUCCGAGAAGGAUCCACAUUAUGAACGAUUGGGAGAGAGCCACGGGCCCCACAUUAGUAUUAUUUGUUUUUUCUGUUUGGACCAAAUACAUUGCUUUUUUUUAAUGAGAUCUGGGCACAUUAUUUCUUUAAUUGAUUGUUUUUCAAAUCAAUAUUAUUUGUAUAGCCCUUAAUCACAUUACAAUUGCAAAGGGCGUAACAGGCCAAAUAUUUAUUAUAUGUUUUUUUAAGUUUUACCUUAAUGUGACCGCAAGCUUUUGUUUUGGUUCGAUGGAACUACUGUAAUUUGUGUCCAUCUUUGUAAUGUCAGGACCAAUUAUUGAAAGGAUUUGGUCCAUCUCAGUGGCAUUCAUCCUGAAGUAUUUGCGGUGCCUCUCAGGAUCUGCACGGAGCUCCUGGACCAGAUUGUGGUAUACCCCCUGAUCUUCCCUCCGUUCCUUGAUGGGGUGCACCCAAACCCUUCGUCUUCUCCUUGCCAGCCUACGGCGCAGCAGAAGAAGGGCAGCCACCCUCUGUCUGGCAACAAUUCUUUGUUCUGUUGAAAUAAAAAAAAAAUCAAUAAAAUGUAAAAGCGCUUGUGUUCAAUAAAAAUGGAUAACGACUGGCUGCAUACAUGUAAAUAUGUGGCUAUGUUAAGGCUAUAU